rnacentral:rRNA from 1 species
UACAGAGGGGGCAAGCGUUGUUCGGAAUUACUGGGCGUAAAGGGCUCGUAGGCGGCCCUCUCAGUCGGAUGUGAAAUCCCCAGGCUUAACCUGGGAAUGGCAUCCGAUACUGGAGGGCUUGAAUUCGGGAGAGGGAUGCAGAAUUCCAGGUGUAGCGGUGAAAUGCGUAGAUAUCUGGAGGAAUACCGGUGGCGAAGGCGGCAUCCUGGACCGAGAUUGACGCUGAGGAGCGAAAGCUAGGGGAGCAAACGGG